rnacentral:snRNA from 1 species
UUUUUGUGGUUAUGUUUGACUU